AUCUUCCUUCUUCUCGGCUGGCUUGUCUGACUGGGAGGCUGCUUUUCUCCUAGGCACAGAGAAGGGGAAGAUACAGAUCAGCUCCUCACGUUCUCUCACUGUCCCAGAACUCUUCUGCCUCCACCCUGCCAGACUCACCCCGGUCCUCAGAUAAACCUGUGUGGGAAAACGAUGGCGUGAAGGAGGCGGCUUGUCUAGGCCCCGUCUGGUGAGGAGCCAGGCCCAGGCAAAUGUCCAGGCCCUCCGUGUGGUCAUGGCCUGGGACACAAAACUGGUCUAGGCAGAGAGGGCGAGAUGCCUCUAUGUCUGUUUAGCUCUACUGGCAGCAGCUGUAGCAUCUGAGGCGUGGAGGGGAGGCGGGCACGCUCUGUCCCCAGGACACUGAAGGCCUGGCCACACGGGACAGAGAGGCAUCUCUC
rnacentral:lncRNA from 1 species